CGGGGUGCAGCAGGCGCGAAAACUUUACACUGCUGGCAACGGCGAUAAGGGAACCUCGAGUGCCAGGUUACAAAUCUGGCUGUCGUGAUGCCUAAAAAGCAUUGCAUAGCAAGGGCCGGGCAAGACCGGUGCCAGCCGCCGCGGUAACACCGGCGGCUCGAGUGGUAACCGUUAUUAUUGGGUCUAAAGGGUCUGUAGCCGGCCGGGUAAGUCUCUUGGGAAAUCUGGCAGCUUAACUGUCAGGCUUUCAGGAGAUACUGCCUGGCUCGAGGCCGGGAGAGGUGAGAGGUACUUCAGGGGUAGGGGUGAAACCUUGUAAUCCUUGAAGGACCACCAGUGGCGAAGGCGUCUCACCAGAACGGACCUGACGGCAAGGGACGAAAGCUAGGGGCACGAACCGGAUUAGAUACCCGGGUAGUCCUAGCCGUAAACGAUACUCGCUAGGUGUCGGCCACGGUGCGACCGUGGUCGGUGCCGUAGGGAAGCCGUGAAGCGAGCCACCUGGGAAGUACGGCCGCAAGGCUGAAACUUAAAGGAAUUGGCGGGGGAGCAC
rnacentral:rRNA from 1 species